UAGCCAACCGCCGCCGCCUUGACGUGUCGCUGCCCGAUCUGCUAUCGCCGUGGCCCGGAUCCAAUGCAUGAUGGCCGGAUUCAUCAGUUCCCAUCGCCUGCCGGUGCCCCUGCGCUCCGACCGCCGGCGCCAUCGCGUUGACCGUCACCGCCCUGCCUCCAGUUCGCACUAGGAACCGGAGGAGGAGGACGACGCGCUGCAGCGCUCGCUCACUUGCCGCCGCAUGGGCCGAGGCCCAGCUCGCCUGCCUCCGUUGUGGGCCGGGGCCAGAUCCCAAGGCCCAGCUACUCCCCUCUCCUCUCCAAGCCACGCCCAAGUCGUUCUGCUCCAGCCAGCCCUUCCACCGAGUCGGACCAACCUAGCAAGGUGAGCAUCCCCAUCCCCUCUAUCCCGCGCCCGUGUGCGCAAUAUAGCGCCCAACGUCGCUAUGAGUUGUUUGGGCUUGCUGCAGAUCCAGCCCAAAGAUGUUUUCAUUUAACCUAUGAAUUUGCUAAUUUUAGAAAAAGAAACAUUGAUUUUAAAAUGCUUAUAUCUUUUAAACCGCGCGUCGGAUUGAAAUAAGUUAUACAUGUAAAACGUGUAAAAUUUCAUGUAGAUUAAUAUUUUACAACUCUCAUGCAUAUCUAAAACUGUUAACCCUGUUUUUUGCUUUGUUUUGCGUGAUGCCAUGCUAAAACUGUUUAAUUCGUAGCUAGUUAACCGUAACUCCGUUGGAGAUGAACUAUAUAUGUAAACCGACUAGAAUGACAUGCAGUUUCAUGUGAACCAUUUUAUUCUGCCAUUUAACAAAUUGAAAAUAUGUUUAGAACACAUCUGAACAUAUUUUGAAGUUAACGUGUGGGGUCGUUUCAGAAAUACAAUAUGUUGUUUCCGACCUUAUUUAAAAUGUCUAGAUAGGUAGUUCAUUUGUGCUUCUCCUCUUGCCAUGUUUAAAUAACAUUUAAUAUUGUCGUGUACCUAAACGGGAGUGAACCAAAUAAUUCGUAUGUGGAGUUUCGUCAAUGUGCAACUCGUUGCAUAUUGAGCUUCACUUAAUGUGUAGUAUUUGAUUGUUGAGAAUUGUCAUGCCGUGCCUUGCAUAAUUAAAAUGGACAUGCAUUAUAUUAGGUUGUGCAUCAUAUCGUGCAUGUGUCAUGAUGAAUAUCGUGUGUUGAUUCUUGUUUACGGUUUGCUUCUUCUCGAUAGAGUUCCGAUCUGCUUCGGAGUAUGAUGAUUCGUUCGACUACAUUGGUUAGUCUGCUUGACGUAUUCGUUAUUCUCCUAAACGGGAUCACGGGCAAGAUGACCACAUGAAGAGAGAAAGAAGAGAGGUCGGGAGACCUAACUCUAGGACAAGAUUAGGGUGAAAGGAGUCAUCUGGUUAAUCUCCGCCGUAAUAACUUGGACCCACCAAAUAAAAGGCUCCUAAUUUCUAAUUAACAUGAAAUUUCUUGAAAGUGUCUAAUUAGUAUAAGUAUAUAUACAGAUAUAGAUAUGGAUAUAGAUAUAGAUAUAGAUAAAUAUAGAUAUAGAUAUAGAUAGAUGAAAUAUAAAAAAGAAAACAAAAAGGGACGAAAUAAGCAUAAAAAUGGACGAAAACACCAAAAUGGAAACUGGGAAGCUAGUAAAUGAAAAUCAGUAGCCGAAAUGAACACUUGGGCUGGCCCAUUCGUGCAUGCCCUUCAGCGAAGGCUCAACUAAUUUCUGCACAUGCAUGCAAUGAAGCACUUGUGCUUGCCAAGGACUUGAAUAUGUCACAUGUGAUAGUGGCUUCGGAUGACAUGCGUGUUACUCCCUCUAUUCCUAAAUAUAAGUCUUUUAAGAGUAUCUAUUAAAAAAUUACAUACGGAUGUAUAUAAACAUACAUUAGAGUGUAGAUUCAAUCAUUUUGCUCUGUAUGUAGUCCUCUAGUGAAAUAUCUAAAAAGACUUAUAUUUAGGAACGGAGUGAGUAUAUCAGAUAUCAGCUAGGGCAUGUUCUCUUCAUAUGCUCUUGUACUAAAUGAAAUCAGAGGUGGGAUGAAAGACUUUGCUAAACUUAGUUUUUGUUUUGAAAAUAGGGAGGCAAAUUUUGAAGCUCGUGCCGUUGCGAAGGUAGCUUCGUGGGAUCCUGCCACAUGUGACUAGAGAUCCUUCCAGAUAUCACCUGUAUUCCUUUUGUGACGAAUCCCCAGUUCACCUAAAAAAGACUACUAUUUGCUACCUGCUGGCGGAAAAUAGGAUUUGCCAUAACGAAGGAAACGAAGCAGCCGAAGAGGAAAUAUCAUGGUUUAGCGGUGACAGCCCCAUCCAAUCCACGAGGCAAAAGGCCCAACCAAGAAAUGCAGCUUGGCAUAGGAGUAAAAGGCCCAAGUGGAAAUGAGGUCCACGUGUAUACCAUGGUCGAAUUCUCUUUCUGUUUUCUGAGGGAGAGUGAACAUAGAGAAAUACCUUGGCUUUCCUCUCAAGAAAUAUCUUUGGCAAAUUA
rnacentral:lncRNA from 1 species